GACGAACGCUGGCGGCGUGCUUAACACAUGCAGGUCGAACGGUAAGGCCCUUCGGGGUACACGAGUGGCGAACGGGUGAGUAACACGUGGGUGAUCUGCCCUGCACUUCGGGAUAAGCCUGGGAAACUGGGUCUAAUACCGGAUAGGACCACUGCCUGCAUGGGUGGUGGUGGAAAGCUUUUGCGGUGUGGGAGGGGCCCGCGGCCUAUCAGCUUGUUGGUGGGGUGAUGGCCUACCAAGGCGACGACGGGUAGCCGGCCUGAGAGGGUGACCGGCCACACUGGGACUGAGCUACGGCCCAGACUCCUACGGGAGGCAGCAGUGGGGAAUAUUGCACAAUGGGCGCAAGCCUGAUGCAGCGACGCCGCGUGAGGGAUGACGGCCUUCGGGUUGUAAACCUCUUUCAGCACCGACGAAGCGCAAGUGACGGUAGGUGCAGAAGAAGGACCGGCCAACUACGUGCCAGCCGCCGCAGUAA
rnacentral:rRNA from 1 species